GCUUGGCCACGCCCACCUCUGGCAACAGAGAAGCAAAGGAAGGAUAUAGCAGAAUUUGAAUUGCUGAAAAAGCUGAAGAUGAGAGGCAGGGCUAAAAAGAUCCUCAGGAAGGUCCCAGAGCCGACCUGAGCCAGACUCCCUCGGGCACAGACAGCAGGUAGGAGACGGGGAGGAUGAAGGGAGGGCAUUUCUGGGCGCCAGGUCGGCACAUCUGAGCAGCUGAAGACAGAGCGGAGGAGGAGGGCAGGGACUGUCUGGAAGUCCAAGGAUCCUGUUUGCUCCUGAGUGCCAGAGGGUGCAUGCCAGGGCCUGGAGCCCUACCCACCAGGAGCAGAGCACAGCCAGAGAGCCCGCAUUAAUAACUCCUUUGAAAUAAAAACAUGCUCUUCAGGGCAACAGAGACUGAUUCAAUAGGCAAAUAGCAGAGGGCUCUCAUUACAAUCAUAAAGAAAGGCGGGGCUGCUGACGAGUGUCAGUGUUCCAGAAAAGAA